rnacentral:rRNA from 1 species
AGUGAACGCUGGCGGUAGGCCUAACACAUGCAAGUCGAACGGCAGCACAGUAAGAGCUUGCUCUUACGGGUGGCGAGUGGCGGACGGGUGAGGAAUACAUCGGAAUCUACUUUUUCGUGGGGGAUAACGUAGGGAAACUUACGCUAAUACCGCAUACGACCUACGGGUGAAAGCAGGGGAUCUUCGGACCUUGCGCGAUUGAAUGAGCCGAUGUCGGAUUAGCUAGUUGGCGGGGUAAAGGCCCACCAAGGCGACGAUCCGUAGCUGGUCUGAGAGGAUGAUCACCCACACUGGAACUGAGACACGGUCCAGACCCCUACGGGAGGCAGCGGUGGGGAAUAUUGGACAAUGGGCGCAAGCCUGAUCCAGCCAUACCGCGUGGGUGAAGAAGGCCUUCGGGUUGUAAAGCCCUUUUUUUGGGAAAAAAAAGCAGCAGGUUAAUACCCCGCUGUUCUGACGGUACCAAAAGAAUAAGCCCCGGCUAACUUCGU